rnacentral:rRNA from 1 species
GAUGAACGCUAGCGGCAGGCCUAACACAUGCAAGUCGGACGGUAACAUUGGUUGCUUGCAACCAGAUGACGAGUGGCGCACGGGUGCGUAACGCGUAUAGAACCUACCCUGUACAGGGGGAUAGCCCAUGGAAACGUGGAUUAAUACCCCGUGGUGAUAUUUUAUGGCAUCGUAGAAUAUUUAAAGUCUUCGGGCGGUACGGGAUGGCUAUGCGUCUUAUUAGUUAGUAGGUGAGGUAACGGCUCACCUAGGCAGCGAUAAGUAGGGGCCCUGAGAGGGGGAUCCCCACACUGGUACUGAGACACGGACCAGACUCCUACGGGAGGCAGCAGUGAGGAAUAUUGGACAAUGGGCGGAAGCCUGAUCCAGCCAUGCCGCGUGCAGGAAGACGGCCCUAUGGGUUGUAAACUGCUUUUAUACAGGAAGAAUAAUCACCACGUGUGGUGAGAUGACGGUACUGUAAGAAUAAGGACCGGCUAACUCCGUG